AUGAGGAACAUUUAUUCAUUACAAAGUGUUUAUGGAAUGUCUAGUAUUCUGCCAUGAGUUUGACAAAAUGCCUCUGGGAGAUUGAAUUAUCUUAAGUUUCACAGAAAAUCAUUGACUUAAGAAAAGGACCCCAGACAAAUUGCUGGGGGAAAGUCAGUGUCUGUCUGUCUGUCUGUCUGUCUGUCUGUCUCUCUCUCUCUCUCUCUCUCUCUCUCACACACACACACAUACACACACAGACAUACACACACACACACACACACACACACACACACACAACUUGCACGUCUCAGGGAACGGACACCAUGAGCAUCACUUGGCCAUCACACUCAUAAGCUCACAGUGGCAAAAGGUCAAGUCAGAAUUCUAGCACAGAUAGGAGAAGGGCACAAGAAGCCCCUGUCCACCCCUGUGCCUGAGAAACUAUUACCAUUUGGUGGCAUCUAGGGGAUGGAAAAUUAUUUUUUUCUGGAGGUAUGCACACUGGUAAAUUGUCAGUGUGGGCAACAAGAACUGGAUUCAGUGGGACAGUGGGAAGAGAAGCGGGGGUACUUACUGGGGAUGUCUCAGCGGAGGGGACUUGGGAUGGAUGUGAUCAAACUUUAUUAUAUAUAUCUAUGAAAAUGGCAAAAGAUCUAUAUGUGUGUGUGUGUGUGUGUGUGUGUGUGUGUGUGUGUGUGUGUGUGUGUGUAAAGGGCCAAUAAAUUUGCUCAGUAUCUAAAAGGCACCUGGUGACCUGAGCUCAAUUCAAUCCCUGGCACCCACAUGGUAGAAAGAGAGAAGCAAUUCCCUUGGGCUGUCUUCCGCCUUAUGUGUGUGCCACGGCAUGUGCACACACACACAGUGUAAAACAGAAACAAAGGAAAGAAAGAGCAGGAAGGGAGGGAAAGGGAAAUACCUUAGAAUCAAUCAAGAAUGCCCUGGAUCCUGGUUUCUUUGUUAGUUUUUUAAUUAUGAGCAAGGAAUUUAAUUCAUCAAUUUAUUGUGAAUGUAGUCAGAUUUUUUUUCUUUUUUUUUUUUUGAGCUGGGGACCAAUCCCAGGGCCUUGUGCUUGCUAGGCAAGCGCUCUACCACUGAGCUAAAUCCCCAACCCUGUAGUCAGAUGUUUUAAGUGCAUUUUUUUUCCUCAAAAAGAUACACUGGAGUUCGUUCCCCAGCAUUUCUGAAUGUGGCCUUUUCUGGACACAGAGUGGAGGUAACUGAAUUCAAAGGGGGUCAUAAAGCAAGACAUCGGUUUGUCUGGUCUCUCAGUAUAGAGGAAGUCACACAGGAAAAGCACCUCGUGAUGCUGAAAGCAACAUUCCAGGGGAUGCUUCUGCGAUUCAAGGACGGCCAGCACACUCAGCAGUUAGGGGAGAGGCACGGAGCCAGCUUGUCUUCAUAGUUCUAGGCUUAGAUAGAACAGGCGCGCAAACCGGAAGUGAUCUCAUAUCGGUUAAACGAAGUAUAUUGGAUGGCUCACCCAAUUUCUACCUAGUAACCUUGUCUGCCUAGUAAUUCCUGUCAUGGUCAACAUAAGAUUAUCUUUGCUAGAAGAAAGUCGAGUCCAGCCCAAACUCAAAGAGGAAGACAGUUGAGUUUCACUUUGCUUCAGGGGAAAAUAUCCAGAGUAUGAACAAUAUAUCACAGCCGAACUGAAGCCACCUACCAUGAGGAAAGCAUGUCAUCCGACCACUUUUAUACUACAAUAAUCCAGUGUUUCCUUGCCUCCUGAGUACUGGGCGCACAGGUGUGUGCACCACGCACCAGAGCUGAGUGUGUCUUUAUAGCUGCAAAAAGCACAGAGAAGAAUAUGAAAAACAGCUGGGUUCACUGGCUUGAAUUAGCAAUUAUUAUGUCUGUCCUAUCCUUUUAAAAAAACUCAUUUAAAAGUAUUUUAAAGGUA